UACGAAGGGGGCUAGCGUUGUUCGGAAUCACUGGGCGUAAAGCGCACGUAGGCGGAUCCUUAAGUCAGGUGUGAAAUCCCGAGGCUCAACCUCGGAACUGCCUUUGAUACUGGGGAUCUUGAGUCCGGGAGAGGUGAGUGGAAUUGCGAGUGUAGAGGUGAAAUUCGUAGAUAUUCGCAAGAACACCAGUGGCGAAGGCGGCUCACUGGCACGGUACUGACGCUGAGGUGCGAAAGCGUGGGGAGCUAACAGG
rnacentral:rRNA from 1 species